GUUUAAUUGAAUCCUUGGUGUUUGGACUCUGUGUUCUUGGGUUCUGUACUCAAACAUUUUGUCACAAACUCUUCAUCUUUCAAAGAAGACUCCCUAUAGUGAAGCAUAUGUGAAGCGAGGUUAUUAAUGGUAGUGGGAUGAGAGGCUUCUUAGUUUUAGUAGUGGUUGUGGAUACUUGAUAGAAAGCUGGGCUUUUUUCUUCAGAAUAGUUCUGAAAGUGACCAUAUUACAUUCAAAUAGGAGUUGAGGCAUUAUCCCUGUAAGUUUUCUUUUUUUCCCCCCCAAACCAACCCCAAAAUGGUCAGUGCACUGUAAGUUUUUCAGAUAAGCAAGUGGGCCUGUUCUCGAACACCAGUGCAAAAUGCUAAACCAGAC
rnacentral:lncRNA from 1 species